rnacentral:tmRNA from 1 species
GGGGGUGUACCGGUUUCGACGGGGAUCAUGAAGUGCGAUAAGCGGGUCAGGCCGGGUAAUCCUGUCAACUGCCCAACCUUUAAAAUUAAACGACAACAAUUCUGUUGCUCUGGCUGCCUAAUUGGCAGUGCCGCGGCUCAUAAUGCCGCCCGUUCCCCCCGGGAGUACCGCGACCCGAGGCUGAACGUCAUGUAGCGGUGCCCGUGCAUCGGUGGUUCGCCAUUGAACCGAUCACGCAUAAAAUGGCUGCCUGUGUCCGGCUUUGCGUCUGAAACCGUUCACAGGGAGAAAUAAUCAGACGAUGCACCCGGAGAAAGUCGCAUGGAUCGGUUUUCGGACAGGGGUUCGACUCCCCUCAUCUCCACCA